AGCGCAGGCGGGAAGACAAGUUGGAAGUGAAAUCUAUGGGCUCAACCCAUAAACUGCUUUCAAAACUGUUUUUUCUUGAGUAGUGCAGAGGUAGGCGGAAUUCCCGGUGUAGCGGUGGAAUGCGUAGAUAUCGGGAGGAACACCAGUGGCGAAGGCGGCCUACUGGGCACCAACUGACGCUGAGGCUCGAAAGUGUGGGUAGCAAACA
rnacentral:rRNA from 1 species